rnacentral:lncRNA from 1 species
GUUUUAUUGAUCUUAGCCAUUCUGACUGGUGUAAGGUGAAAUCUCAGAGUAGUUUUGAUUUGCAGUUCCCUGAUGACUAAGGAUGUUGAACAUUUAAAGCAUUGCUCAGCCAUUGGAGUUUCCUCUUUUAAGAAUUCCCUGUUCAGUUCUGUACCCAAGUUUUAACUGGGUUAUUUGUUUUCUUGAUACCUACUUUUUUUUGAGGUCUUUAUAUAUUUGGAUAUUAGCCCCUUAUCGGAUGUACAGUUGGUAAAAGUCCUUUUCCGUUCUAUAGGCUGCUGCUUUGUCCAAAUGAUGGUGCUCCUUUGCCUUACAGAAGCUUUGCAGUUUCAUGAGGCUCACUUUAUUAAUGGUUGACCUCAGUGCCUGCACUAAUGAUGUUCUGUUCAGGAAGUCUUCUCCCGCGCCAAUGAGUCCAGGGCUGUUCCCCACAUCUAUCAAGUUCAAUGUCUCUGGUCUUACACUGGAGUCUCUAAUCCAUUUAGAGUUGAGUUUUGUGUAAGUUGAUAAGUACGGAUCUAUUUAGAUUCUUCUACACACAGCCAACCAAUUUGACCAACAUCGUUUGUGGAAGAUGUUACCUUUCUUUCAAAGUCUAUUUCUAGCAUCCUUAUCAAAACUCAGGUGUCCCUAGGUAGAUUUGUGUCUGGGUCUUCAAUCCAAUUCCACAGAUCAACAUAUCAAUCUCGUACCAAUACCAUACUGUUUUUAUUACUGUGGCUCUGUAGUACAACUUGAAAUUGGGAUGGUGAUACAGCAGUUCUUUUAUUAUUCAGGGCUGUUUUGUCUCUCCUAGGUUUCCUUCUGUUUCCACGGGAAGCUGAAGAUUGUUCUUCCAAGAUCUGUGAAGAAUUGGUUUGGAGUGUUGACAGCAAUUGCCUUUAAUCUAUAGAUUGCUUUUGGUAGCAUGGCCAAUUUCACUAUAUUCAUCCUACUGAUCAAUGAGCAUGGAAGGUCUUGCCAUCUUCUGAUAGCUUCUUCAAUUUCUUUCUUCAGUGGCUGAAAGUUUUUAUCAUUCAAGUCAUUCACUUGCUUGGUUGAGUUACCCCAAGACUGUUAAUAUGGUGGAUUGCAUUUAUCAAUUUAUGUAUAUUGAAUGACCCCUGCAUCUCUGGGAUGAAGCCUACUAGAUCAUGGUAGAUCAUCUUUUUGAUAUGAUCUUUAAUUCAAUUUGCAAGUAUUUUAUUAUUUUUGCAUCUGUAUUCAUAAGGAAAAUUGGUCUAUAAUUCUUUUUUGCUAUGUCUAUAUGUCAUUUAGGUAGCAGGGUAAUGGGUCUCGUAAAAUGAAUUGGGCAAUGUUCCCUCUGUUUCUACUUUGUGACAUAAUUUGCAAAGUAUUAGCAUUAACUGUUCUUUGAAAGUCUGGUAGAAUUCUGGAGUAGAACCAUCUGUCUCUGUACUUUUUUUUUUUUUUUUUGGGGUUGGGAGACAUUUAAUAACUGCUUCUGUUUCACAAGUGGUUGGUUUACAUUGUUUAUCUGACCUUGAUUUAAUUUAGCAAGUGGUAUCUAUUGAGAAAAUUAUUCAUUUUUUUUUUUUUAGAUUUUUCCAAUUUGGUGAAGUAUAGUUUUUAAAAGUAUGUCCUUAUGAUUAUCUGUAUUUCCUUGGUGUCUGUUGUCAUAUCCCUCUUUCUUGUUUUUAGUUUUGUUAACAUGGAUAUUUUCUCUGUGUCUAUUCAUUAGUUUGAAUAAGGAUUUGUUCAUCUUAUUGGUUUUCUCAAAGAAACAACUCUUUCAUUGAUAUUUUGCAAUUUAUUUUGUUUACAUUUUAUUGAUUUCAGCCUUGAGUUUGAUUAUUAUUAUUAUUCCCACAGGAGGGAAGAUAUCAAGGUGUCCCACUAGGAUCUGCUUAGACUCUGGGGAAAUAGGGCAGCAUAUGAGGAGAGGCCACAAGAGGUAGUCUGCUACACAGAUGGGGAGGAGACUGGAGGAUUGGAUUUGGGGAAGAGAGGGGAGAGUGAAGAUCUGAAGCUACUGGCGUGAAGCAAGAGUAAAAAACCAAGAGUGUUUGUUGCAAAUCACAGAGAUUUUAAGACAUGGCAAACUGUCUAAAGUGAGCCCACAAAUUAGUGACUUCAAGGGUAAGUGCACUGUAGAAUAAUAAUAUAACAUAAUCUACAAACUCCUCAGCCAGAUUAUAAACACUCAUCUAAAACCUAUGUUUAAAAGGUGGUCUCUCCAGGUAUGGUAUCAUAUGCCUGUAAUACUAGCCUGACUCAGGGGGGUCAGGAGUUCAAAUCCGGUCUCAUCUACACAAACAGCUCAAGGUUAGUGUGGGCUACUAGGACCUUGUCUCAAGAAAACGAAAACAAAUGAGAAAGGAUAGGCUUGUGUGCCCAUGGUAGGGUGAGCCUCUCCAGCAAGAGACAACAGUAGCUCUAAAGCCAGGCAUGGCGAUGCCUCCCUGUAGUCACAACCCUUGAAAAACUGAGGCAGGAGGAUUUAAAGCUCUUGACCAGCCUCUGCUACUUAGUGUGACCUAGGAUAGCUUGAGCUAUAUAAAGCAACCCUGUCUUAGGAAGCAAAACAAACCCAAUAUAUGAUUAUGGUGACCUUUCAAUUUAUAUCAUAUAAAAGAUUGAAAAGACUGACAAUUUUGGUGCACUCAUUUUAUCUGAUCAGCUUUUUAGUAAGGAAGAUUUUAAGAGGGUCUCCGAGGGUCAGUAUACAGGUUCCUAAGCUGUAAAAUGCAAACACAGGUCAAGAAAAGUUCAAAGGAAUACUCACCAUUCACUCAUGGGUCAUUUGGAAGUGAAGACAAUUUUUGCUUAUAAGCAUGGUUCAGAAUCUUUGUGAGAUUUUUCUCAGAAAAGUGAUUAUAGCCCUUUGCAAGCAGUUGGGAAAUUCUUGGCAAGAUACUCAAACAGAUUGCUGGCUAAGCAGUUCUUUCCCUUUCUGUGACCCCUUAAUUUCCCCUGUACUUCAAUCCGACCUAAAAGUGAGCUUUGCUUUCCGCAUGGCCUUCUGGGAGCUAAACGCCAGAGCUGCAGUACCAAGGAUUAGUCGUCGUGAAGAUAUGCUACAAAUAAGCCUGUCUUUGCCAAUGCUCUUCUCCUCUGGAGUCUACAAGUAAGAAAAUCAGCAAAUGACCUUAAACCUCUGCUCCUGGUGGACAGCAGGGGGGCAGAGUCAUAGCUGAGAAUUUAGAGCCGCAGUCCAGUUUUCACCCAAGGACCAGGAUAAUCCCAGAGAAGCUUAAGCUAAUAAUUAUUGAUUUCGACUGAUCGAGUUCUCAGGCUCCUGCAAAGCAAACAGCCGUCCUUUCUGAAGCCUUUUUAAAAGAUAAUAGCGAGAAAAAAACUUACCUGCUUACAUUUUAAGUAAGUGUAGGAAGUAUAAAAUAAAGUAGGAAGCUGUGCUACUUAGCUUAAUGUCAACUCGACAGAAACUAGAGUUACCACAGAGGAGGGAGACUUGACUGAGGAGAAAAUGCCUCAGUGAGACCAGGCCUGGAAGGCAUUUUCUUAAAUAAAUUGAUGGGGGAGGGCCCAGGCCAUUGUGGGUGGGGCCACCCUGUGCUGAUGGUUCUUAGUUCUAUAAGAAAGCAGGCUAACUGACCAAUACAGAUGUGGCAGCCAACCACUGGAUUGAGCACAGGGUCCUCAAUGGAGAAAGGACUGAAGGAGCUGAAGGGGUUUGCAACCCCAUAGGAAGAACAACAAUAUCAACCAGCCAGACCCCUCAGAGCUCCCAGGGACUAAACCACCAACCAAAGAGUCCACAUGGACAGACCCAUGGCUCCAGCCGCAUAUAUAUGUAGCAGAGGAUGGAUGACCUUGUCUGGCAUCAAUGGGAGGAGAGGCCCUUGAUCCUGUGAAGGCUCUAUGCUCCAGUGUAGGGGGAUGCUAGUGUGGUGAGGCAGGAGUGGGGGAGUGGUUAGGGGAGCACCCCCAUAGAAGCAGUGGGAGGGAGGUGGAAUAGGGGGCUUGUGGAAGAAGAAAACAGGAAGAGGGAUAACAUUUGAAAUGUAAAUAAAUAAAAUAACCAAUAAGAAGAAAGGAAAAAGCAGGCUGAACAAAUCAUGAUGAGCAAGCCAGUAAGCAGCACCCCUGCAUGGCUUCUGCAUCAGUUCAUGCCCCCAGGUUCCUGCCCUGUUUGAGUUCCUGCCCUGAUUUCCUUUGAUAAUGGCCUGUGAUAUAGAAGAGUAAGUUGAAUAAACUCUACAUGUAUGGAUACAUAGUAAUGUAUGCACAUAUGUGUGUUUUGAGAUAGUAUCUCUCCAUGGCCUGAGACUCAAGAAUUUGUCUAAAUUGUCUGGCCAUUGAGUCCCAGGGGUCUGUUUGUCUCUGACUCUCCAGCAUUGGGAUUAUAAUCGAGCAUUUUUUAUGUGGGUCCUGGAGAUUGAAUUCAAGUCCUCAUGCUUAGUGUGACAAGCACUUCAUCAACUGAGCUAGUGCCAAAGUCUGCUAAGUAGAGCUUAAGGAAGUAAGAGAUAAAUCAUAUUUUAAAAAUCAAUGGAGAGGUGUAAUAAUCUAUUUGACACAGCUGAAAUACAAGCUGGAGGACGGAAGACAAAAAUUUCAUAGUAUAAGGAUUGUUCUUGCGAAGGACCUGAAUUCAGUUCCCACCACUCACAUUGGGUGAAUACCAAUUACCAAUCACCUGUGACUUCAGCCCUAGGGGAUCCAUCACCUCUGGCUUCUGAGGGCACCCGCAGUCAUAUGCAUGUAUCUACACACUCACACACACACAUCAUACACAGAUGGGUGAAGAAAACUGGUAUUUUAUUUUAAAUUAAAAACAAAAAAAGACUUCUUUGUAACUAUGUAUAUGAAAUUUGUAUGACAGAGAAUCUAAGUGACAAUUGAAGACAUUGUAAGAUUUAAAAUAAAUCUAAUUAUGGUUUUGGAAGAAAAGCAAAAAGACAAUAAGCAGAAGCAAUUUUUGACAAGAUAAUGGCUGAGAACUUUUCAGAACUGAUGAUAGACUCCAACCCACAGACUUAGGAAGCUCUCCAAAUCCUAAGCAAUUUGAAGAACAAUAAAUCUGCACUUAGAUCCACCACAGAGAAGCUGCAGAAUUCCAAAAACCAAAGUGAAAGCCUUUAAAGUGAAAAAGAAAAGCAUACGUUCUGUACUGGCUAGUUUUGUGUCAACUUGACACAGCUGGAGUUAUCACAGAGAAAGGAGCUUCAGUUGAGGAAAUGCCUCCAUGAGAUCCAACUGUAAGGCAUUUUCUCAAUUAGUGACCAAGGGGGAAAGGCCCCUUGUGGGUGGGACCAUCUCUGGGCUGGUAGUGUUGGUUCCAUAAGAGAGCAGGCUGAGCAAGCUA